rnacentral:rRNA from 1 species
UACGUAGGGGGCAAGCGUUGUCCGGAUUUAUUGGGCGUAAAGAGCGUGUAGGCGGCCUUACAGGUCAGCUGUGAAAACUCGAGGCUCAACCUCGAGACGUCGGUUGAAACCGUAAGGCUAGAGUCCGGAAGAGGAGAGUGGAAUUCCCGGUGUAGCGGUGAAAUGCGCAGAUAUCGGGGAAGAACACCCGUGGCGAAGGCGGCUCUCUGGGACGGUACUGAACGCGUGAGACGGCGAAAGCGUGGGGAGCGAACAGG